GCUCCCGUGGUGUAGUCAGGCCCAUCAUCUCGGCCUUUCGAGCCGAGGACCCGGAUUCGAAUUCCGGCGGGAGCA
rnacentral:tRNA from 1 species